GAAGGAGUAGUUAAAAUGGAAGAAUACUGACCUGCUAGUUCAGAGAUGUAGGUUCGAUGCCUACCUCCUUCC
rnacentral:tRNA from 1 species